rnacentral:rRNA from 1 species
GACAGAGGGUGCAAACGUUGCUCGGAAUUACUGGGCGUAAAGCGCGUGUAGGUGGAUUGGUGUGUCAGAUGUGAAAUCCCUGGGCUCAACCCAGGAACUGCACCUGAAACUACCAGUCUUGAGUGGUGGAGAGGGAAGUGGAAUUCCUGGUGUAGAGGUGAAAUUCGUAGAUAUCUGGAGGAACACCCGUAGCGAAGGCGGCACUCUGGGCCGAUUCUGACACUGAGGAGCGAAAGCGUGGGGAGCGAACAGG